GCAUUGGUGGUUCAGUGGUAGAAUUCUCGCCUGCCACAUGGGGGACCCGGGUCCGAUUCCCGGCCAAUGUA
rfam:Danio rerio chromosome 4, GRCz11 reference primary assembly.